rnacentral:rRNA from 1 species
UACGUAGGGGGGCGAGCGUUGUCCGGAGUUACUGGGCGUAAAGGGCAUGCAGGCGGUCCGACACGUUUUGUGUGACAGCGGGUGGCUUAACUACCCGAGGAUGCGAAAGACGGUUGGACUUGAGGACUCGAGAGGGACACGGAAUUCCGGGUGGAGUGGUGAAAUGCGUAGAGAUCCGGAGGAACACCGAAGGCGAAGGCAGUGUCCUGGCGAGUGACUGACGCUGAGGUGCGAAAGCCAGGGGAGCGAACGGG